AUUGAACGCUGGCGGCAGGCCUAACACGUGCAAGUCGAGCGGAAGCACGGUGAUUGCUUCUGGUUACAGGUGCCGACGGGCGGGUGAUGGCUAGGUACAUCCCAGUCUGCUGGGGCUUGGGUGCGGACGUGGGCACUCUUACGCUAAUAGCGCAGAGGGCGAACGGGGGGGAUCAUCGGACCUUCAGCUCUUGCGCGAGUCUAUGUGGGAUUAGCGAGUUGGUGGGGUAAAGGCCUACCAAGGCGACGAUCCGAAGCUGGGCUGAGAGGCUGAUCAGCCACACUGGAACUGAGACACGGUCCAGACUCCUACGGGAGGCAGCAGUGGGGAAUAUUGGACAAUGGGCGAAAGCCUGAUCCAGCCAUGCCGCGUGGGUGAAGAAGGUCUUCGGGUUGUAAAGCACUUUUAUUGGGGAAGAAAAGCAGUAGGUUAAUACCUGGCUGUUUUGACGGUACCCAAAGAAUAAGCACCGGCUAACUUCGUG
rnacentral:rRNA from 1 species